rnacentral:misc_RNA from 1 species
GUACUCUCACACUCCCAAUGCUUUUGGAUUGGGAGCGGUGGACUUGGGUGUUGCUGCUUUACAGUGGCUCGCCUCAAAUGGAGUAGUGCAACUCUCGGUUGGACAUAGUACGGCGUGAUAAGUAUCUUCGCCGGCGCCUCAUUAGAGGGUGGCUGAUCAGGAGCUCUGUGCUUCAAACCGUCUUCGGACACUCUUUGACA